rnacentral:misc_RNA from 1 species
AGUGUUUUGACAGGUCACGUGAUAUAUAUUUUCUGCUUUUUUGCUUGCUGAAUGAACUUAUCUUUUUGUUGGACAAUUUGCGAGGUAAAGUUACCCUGACGGCACUCUGUUUCCAAAUAUAAUCAAUAACACUAAGUAAGAAUAUCAAUAUAUUAGCAACACCACACACUGUGCUUCAUAUUGAGCAGAGAAGCUUCAAUCGGAUACCUCACUAUAGCUGGGAAAGAGACAUUGAGUUCAGGAUAAUAUCUUGAUAGACAAGAUGCGCACCAAUUACCUACUGAUGGUCUUGACUGGAGGGGUGGCGGGACUUGUGGUUAUCCUAUAUUUGUCGUCAACUUCUCACAUGGAAAAAUUUGAGGUUCAAAAUCGCAGCAUAGAAGCUAAAUGUAACUGCGAAGGUCAAGGUCAGUCUCAACCUCAAUGUGAACCUGCACAGGCAAAACCAAUUUUUGAAAAAACGGGAGACACCCAGACAUCGCUGAAUCCUAUUCAUAAUCGAUAUGUUGCUCUGACCAAUGAUUUAUCAGAGUGUGACUGUAGUGGCUACAUGGAGGGAGAGUGUCAAAAAUGCAAGAAUUGUGGCUGGUGUAUCGCUAGAGAUAAGGAUGGUAACGUCAUGCAACAAUGUAUUCAGGCCAAAGAUGGAAAACCAUUGACUGGAACGUGUAAUAUUAAAUGGUGUCCAGAAGGGGAUAAACCUUGUAAGAUGUAUCGUAAGCUUGUCAUAUUUGGAAAUGGACCUUCCUUGAAGGGAUUCAAUUUCCAUGAAGUUCAAGGUGUAGAUUCAUUGGGAAUGAACCAGGCAUACAGGUACUGGAGCGAAAUUAAUUGGUAUCCUACAUACUAUUUCUCCUUUGACACCGUAGUUAAUGUUGACAGAUCCAAAGACAUUAUUGAGCUCAUAAACAAUUCUUCUACCAAUGGAAUAAAAAAGUUCUUCACACGUAGCAACUUUUAUGGAAGGGCACCACAAUUUAAAAAUGACCCCAGAGUCCAAGUAUUUGAAGAUUAUAGAAAAGGACGCCAUAUUGUCUCUAUUGUAUCUGCAAUCUCAACUGGUAACCUAGCAACACGGUUUGGCAUUCUCAUGGGAUACGAUAAAAUCCUGAUAAUGGGGAUUGAUAUGAACUAUGUGGAACAUAUAAAAGAAUCUGAGAAAUACAAAGGUGUUCUUAAAAUUAAAGAAACACCAGAUGAUAAUCCGAACUAUUUCUUCAAAGGCUACCAACAAAAAGGCGAUGUGUACAAUGUCCCCAAUAGUAAUGCUGUUCACGUGCCAGCAUUCAGGCAGAUGUUUGGAGAUGUUAAAAAACUUGGACUUAAGGUUGAUAUUUAUAAUGGGAGUCCGAUAUCAAAGCUUAAAGAAAUGUGCCCAUUUAUGACCUUUAAAGACUUCAUGGCUCUCUAAUUCUUGACAUGUUUGGAUUCAUAAUUCUCUAUCCGAGAUCAUCACAAUAUUUCAUUGAAAGACAAUCAGUCUUAGGGUCAUUACAAUAGAUCAUUUGAUUGACAAUAAGCCAUACAUUUUACAAAUGUCUUUUUAUGAGACAAUAAGCCAAAAACUCCGAAAAUUCCGAUAUAUACAUGUACAUUUAUUUUAUACAUGUACCUGGGAUAUAAUAGGUCAAGAAGACAAUCAGUCAAUCAAUAGACAACCAGUCAAAGACGUCGUCACAAAAUAUCAAUUAAUAGACAAUCAAGAAGCAAAUACAAAAUAAGUAUCCUUGAACAAUUGUCUGUAGGAUGUCUAACAUUUUGUGAAGUUUCUUGAUUGAAGUGAUGACUUUAUCAGCUCAGGGCAAACUUGCAGUGAGGGCAGAGAAUCAUAACAUGGGCGAUAACAAGGACACUACAUUUACGUGAUAUAAUGCUCAAUAGUUCAAUAGUUUGUUUUCACAUCUCUGAAUGAUAGGAAUGAGUGGUUCAUACAUACCAGGGCUCUCACCAGGAAAUAUUUAGGGUGUGGUGGAAACCUCUUCAGUAUAACCAUUCAAUCAUGAUAAAUCAUAUUUAUGUUGUAUUAUAUCAUUUUUACAUGCAGUUUUUGUCUAUUCAGUCAUGUUUAGACUGUGGAAACAAUCAAUAUUUGCCAAUAGGUUGUGGUGGGAGCUAAAUAGACUGUGGUGCUGUUCCACAGUUUACUGUUUAAGUGGUAUUUAAUCUGAGUGGUUAAUUUGCCGAA